rnacentral:rRNA from 1 species
GUAGGGAAUAUUGGGCAAUGGAUGCAAGUCUGACCCAGCCAUCCCGCGUGCCGGAAGAAGGCCCUCAGGGUUGUAAACGGCUUUUGACGGUGAAGAAUCGACAGGAUGCGUCCUGUUUUGACGGUAGCCGUUGAAUAAGCACCGGCUAACUCCGUGCCAGCAGCCGCGGUAAUACGGAGGGUGCGAGCGUUGUCCGGAUUUAUUGGGUUUAAAGGGUGCGUAGGCUGGAAGGUCAGUCAGCGGUGAAAAGCUGUCGCUUGACGAUAGUCUUGCCGCAGAUACUUCCUUUCUUGGAUGAGGAGGAGGCCACUGGAACGGAUGGUGUAGCGGUGAAAUGCAUAGAUAUCAUCCAGAACACCGAUUGCGAAGGCAGGUGGCUGUACCUUAAUCGACGCUGAUGCACGAAAGCAUGGGGAGCAAACAGGAUUAGAAACCCCUGUAGUCC